CUUUACCCAGGACCCUGCCCACUGGCCUUCCUCUCUUCCAAACACAGGUUCCGGCAUGCCCAGGUGUGCAAGGCCUCAGCACUGAAGCAUGGUGGGGAUCUGGCACAAGACCCAGCCUGGACAGAGAUCUUUGGUGUUCUCUCUGUGGCCACCAUCAAGUUUGAGAUGCUGAGCACAGCCCCACAGAGUCAGGUGAGCCUGGGAGCCUGACAGGGCCAGUGUUGGGGCACAGGGUGUGGUGGCUGCCUUCUCUCUCUGCAGCUGUGCUUCUGUUCCCCAGCUCUUCCUGGCUCUGGCUGACAGCAGUAUCUCCACGAAGGGCACAAAGAGUGGCACCUUUGUCAUGUAUAAUUGUGCCCGUCUUGCCACACUCUUUGAGAGUUACAAGUGUAGUAUGGAACAAGGUCUGUACCCCACUUUUCCUCCUGUGAGCAGUCUGGACUUCUCACUGCUACAUGAUGAGGUGAGUGUCCCUCCUGGUAGCUGGCACAAGGAGGCCUGGACUUCCCCUCCCAGCACCUUUCUCCCCCACAGGGUGAGUGGUUGUUGCUCUUCAACAGUAUCCUCCCCUUUCCGGAUCUGCUGAGCCGGACAGCAGUGCUGGACUGCACAGCCCCGGGGCUCCACAUUGCUGUACGCACAGAGAUGAUAUGCAAGUUCCUGGUACAGCUCAGCAUGGAUUUCAGCUCCUACUACAACCGGGUACACAUCCUGGGGGUGAGCACACAGCAAAACGGGGUGGGACGUGCAGAGGGGUACAGGGUAAAGGCAAAGGAAGCAGAGGAUGAGACCAGCAGGCCCUUUCUCUUUCAGGAGCCUCGACCACACCUCUUUGGUCAGAUGUUCGUCCGCCUGCAGCUUCUGAGAGCUGUGCGUGAGGUGCUCCAUACUGGCCUGGCUAUGCUGGGUCUCCCUCCACUGAGCCACAUCUAAGGCCACAGAGGCUCCAAUACCUGGGAAUGUUCACAAAGUCAUCAACUGGAAAAAAAGCAAAAACUCACGGCCAAAAUAAAUUGGUACUGUUUGUUACAAAGUUCUGUCUUGUCAUGGGGAGUGGGGCAUAUUCUUUUGGCAGCACUCCACUCACCUUCAGCUCCUGCACCGACAUCAGGAACCCACGGCCACCACCUCCUCCCCUCAAGGCAUGCUGAGCAUGGGCACAAACAGCCCAUCCCUGCUCCAUGCUGUCUGUGAGCAGGCCCCAUGCCCAGCACGCCAGCCACCGCAGGAUACCUCAGUCGUACCAGUUGUAAACCUCAAGCCCCUGACCCCCAAGGGCACAACGGUGGCCAAACUCAGGGCUCACAGGCCAGCAGUCCAUGUCAGCCACAUCAGGCACAUGGAAUACAGUGCUAUUCAUGAAGGUGGGUUCACCAUGCCCCAGACGCCAGAAGGUCAGCCGUUGAUCAAUGGAGGCUGAGACCAUGAUGCUUGGGCUUAGGAUCUUGAGGCCUGUCACAUGGGCAGCAUGUGCACAGGGGACAGAGUAUUCCUCUAGCACACGCAGCUGAGGUACCAGCCCAGCCUCUCCCACAGCCUCUUCUAGCUGUAGCAUCUCCACAGCAAGCACGAAGACAUGGAGGGAUCCAUCUUCACUGCCACUGGCCACGAGAUGGUGGCCCUCACGGGUGGGCAAGGUGUGCAGGCUGUUGAUACCACAGCUGUGGGCCUGGAGAGUCAGGGAGGGGGUGCCAAGCCCU
rnacentral:lncRNA from 1 species